rnacentral:rRNA from 1 species
GAUGAACGCUGGCGGCGUGCCUAAUACAUGCAAGUCGAGCGAACAGACGAGGAGCUUGCUCCUCUGACGUUAGCGGCGGACGGGUGAGUAACACGUGGAUAACCUACCUAUAAGACUGGGAUAACUUCGGGAAACCGGAGCUAAUACCGGAUAAUAUAUUGAACCGCAUGGUUCAAUAGUGAAAGACGGUUUUGCUGUCACUUAUAGAUGGAUCCGCGCCGCAUUAGCUAGUUGGUAAGGUAACGGCUUACCAAGGCAACGAUGCGUAGCCGACCUGAGAGGGUGAUCGGCCACACUGGAACUGAGACACGGUCAAGACUCCUACGGGAGGCAGCAGUAGGGAAUCUUCCGCAAUGGGCGAAAGCCUGACGGAGCAACGCCGCGUGAGUGAUGAAGGUCUUCGGAUCGUAAAACUCUGUUAUUAGGGAAGAACAAAUGUGUAAGUAACUAUGCACGUCUUGACGGUACCUAAUCAGAAAGCCACGGCUAACUACGUG